CGGUCUUCAACAUAGAGCCUUUUCUCACACCGAACAGCAAGCUAUAAAGGGCCCCCAAAAUGACUAGUGUAAAACCAUUCAAAACGGGAAAACCAUCGGUCUAAUCUAUAUAAAAAACGAAAAACGAGAAACACUUAUGAACCACAUCAACAAACGACAACUACUGAACAUCCGGUUCCUGACUUAAGACAGGUGCAAACAAAUGCAGCGGGUUUAAACGUUUUAAUAGGUUACAAGCUUCACCCUUAUCUAAAACAAUAGUGUAACAUCACAAGAUAGAAAG
rnacentral:lncRNA from 1 species